rnacentral:tRNA from 1 species
UAGAAUUUGGUGUAAUUGGGAGGACGAAGAGUUUUGGGU